GACGGAGGGGGCGAGCGUUGUUCGGAUUUACUGGGCGUAAAGGGCGCGCAGGCGGCUCAUUUUGUCAGGCGUGAAAGCCCCGGGCUUAACCUGGGAACUGCGUUUGAUACGGAUGGGCUAGAGUUCGGGAGAGGAGAGUGGAAUUCCCAGUGUAGAGGUGAAAUUCGUAGAUAUUCGCAAGAACACCAGUGGCGAAGGCGGCUCACUGGCCCGGUACUGACGCUGAGGUGCGAAAGCGUGGGGAGCAAACAGG
rnacentral:rRNA from 1 species